GUGUACAGAAGGGAAGAUUUCGGUCGGAAGAUCUGUGCAUGAGUGGCGGACGGGUGAGUAACGCGUGGGCAACCUGGCCUGUACAGGGGGAUAACACUUAGAAAUAGGUGCUAAUACCGCAUAACGGGAGAAGCCGCAUGGCUUUUUCCUAAAACUCCGGUGGUACAGGAUGGGCCCGCGUCUGAUUAGCCAGUUGGCAGGGUAACGGCCUACCAAAGCGACGAUCAGUAGCCGGCCUGAGAGGGCGGACGGCCACACUGGGGCUGAGACACGGCCCAGACUCCUACGGGAGGCAGCAGUGGGGGAUAUUGCACAAUGGGGGAAACCCUGAUGCAGCGACGCCGCGUGGGUGAAGAAGCGCCUCGGCGCGUAAAGCCCUGUCAGCAGGGAAGAAAAUGACGGUACCUGAAGAAGAAGCCCCGGCUAACUACGUGCCAGCAGCCGCGGUAAUACGUAGGGGGCAAGCGUUAUCCGGAUUUACUGGGUGUAAAGGGGGCGCAGACGGCGAUGCAAGCCAGGAGUGAAAGCCCGGGGCCCAACCCCGGGACUGCUCUUGGAACUGCGUGGCUAGAGUGCAGGAGGGGCAGGCGGAAUUCCUGGUGUAGCGGUGAAAUGCGUAGAUAUCAGGAGGAACACCGGUGGCGAAGGCGGCCUGCUGGACUG
rnacentral:rRNA from 1 species